UACGUAGGGUGCGAGCGUUUGUCCGGAAUUACUGGGCGUAAAGAGCUCGUAGGUGGUUUGUCGCGUUGUUCGUGAAAACCUGAGGCUUAACCUUGGGCGUGCGGGCGAUACGGGCAGACUGGAGUACUGCAGGGGAGACUGGAAUUCCUGGUGUAGCGGUGGAAUGCGCAGAUAUCAGGAGGAACACCGGUGGCGAAGGCGGGUCUCUGGGCAGUAACUGACGCUGAGGAGCGAAAGCGUGGGGAGCAAACAGG
rnacentral:rRNA from 1 species